AGGGCGUAUCCUGAAAAGCCUCAAAUAGAGUAAGGA
rfam:Mucilaginibacter lappiensis strain ATCC BAA-1855 genome assembly, contig: Ga0104715_119